UCUUGGACUCCCGGGUUUAGUGUGCUGCUGAUGGCUUGGAAAUCAGUGGAAACCCCUGACUUUCCUCUGGACUGUCCCAUGAAAACCAGGACCCUGGUCCAGAAAUCAGGCACAGGCAUGACUGAAUAACACUUACUUGUAGGUUUGUGUUUUAGUCGUUUGAAUAGUUUGUUUCUUCCUCCUCUAACUAUAAAAUAUCAUGACUUAAAAAAAAAAAACUUUUAAGUAGGGAAGAUAGUAUUUUUGUUGAAGAAUAGACUUGGGGGUUCUCUGGCAGACUUCUCAGGUAGUUCUCAGAGCUAAGAUGCUUUAUUCUAAGGAAGAUUGGGGAACCUAAAAGGUCUGGCAAUGUGAUAGGAAGGUUUUAAGUUGACUUUGGAACCAGUGCCCAGUACACUGUCUGCAUUGGCUCAGAGAAGGGUCUGCUGAGAAAAGGUUGACACGUCCGUCCGUCGGUCUGUCUGUCCGUCUGGCAUCCUAGGACAGUUAUGGCACUAACAAUCAAAACUCAACGGAAAACGUGACUCACAAUUAAAUAAAGUGGCCACCAUCACCUGCUACCCUUGUGGUGUCAACAAAGCAGUAUGGGGAGAUUUGUAACAAACAGCAGCCCACCUUAGAGCUUCUCCUUCAGGGCACAGAAGAACCCAUGACCCUGGAGACUUACCAAAAUAUCUGGAGUUGUGCUAAAUAAAAAAAGAGAUGGGUAAACAGGUUUCUGUAAGAGCGAACAGGCCAAAGGUGAGAGAGGAGGAUCUGUCCUCUGCAUUUGAUGGCUGUGUCUCCUGCAUGCUGCAUCCUGGCACCCGAACACAUGGUUGCUUCUCCUUGUGGAUGUGGCCGGGGUCUUUGCCCUGAUUGACCAGGGGGACGCUCCAGAGGGACACACUUCAGUUUAGUACAAGGUGAACCAAUACUACUCAGUGUAGGAAGAGGGCCGCCUGAGGUCAAAGAUGCCCCACUUGGCCUGCACUCACCGAGAAGUGUUCAGACAGGAUGUCCCUUGGCAUCCAUAA